UGUGAAAAGGAAACCAUGGUGUCUACCAAUUAAAGCAAAGCAACAAUAUAAUCCUAAAGUCUUAGAAUAACUAACAAUGUAUUUAAAUAAAAGACCACUGGUUGGCAUGCACACAAUGAUGAAAGACACUUCUUGCCUACUGAGAUAUUGAACAGGAUAACAGGUGGAAACAAAAACACUUUGCCCCUUUUGAAUUUGACCAGCAACCAUCAACGACGAGGCAUGCGGGACUUGUCCCAUGAAGCAGGACCAGGGCCAUACAA
rnacentral:misc_RNA from 1 species